UGGUGAUAUUUUUUUCUUAUUUCUGUAAUAGAAACCAAUGGCUAAGUAUCAUUAAAUUUUAAAUAAGUCCGUUGUGUCUUUCGUCUUCUGCUGGAGGCACGCCGGAAUAGCAAUGUUUAUGUUGUGCAUUGUGAAUACGGACAACUAAAAAGAUGUUUACUCAUGUGGAUUCCCAUGUGUAUGUGAAAUAAACAAAAGUGUUGUACAACAGACAGCGAGAUAAAGAUGUUGUGCCAAUACCGUGCAACUGUGUGUCUGGCUCCAACUUCGGGACUAAUGGCAAGGAAUGGCAAUUUGUUCGACCGAAUUUCUUGUAAUAUUCUGAAGUCAGGUCAUGACCGCGUUGUAGGACUACGUCGAAACUUCUCGUGUCUUACUGCUGGUGUUUUCCAAAAUGCAUGUGUGAAAGGGAUCAGUCUAAAACCUAAGGGUAACGAGUUUCAUUACUCAUCCCUCGCAACUUCGGAAUGCAGAAAAAAUAAAUAUUUUAUAGAUUCAUUUGACGCAAAGUUAGGAACAACAACAAAAUUAUUCUCAACAGCCACAGUUGUUAACCAGAAGGAAGCACAGAAGAAAAAAGAUAUAAGGAUAGGUCCUGGACUUGAAUACUUCAUAGCAAAUAGUUCAGGGACAACACAGAAUGAAAAAAUCUUUUCCAAAAGAGAUUUAGAAAAGCUUUCCCACCCAUACGUUGAUGUGGCAGAUAUCCAGGGCAAUGGGCGCAAGGUUUACUUUGAUGUUUAUGGCUGCCAGAUGAAUGUAAAUGACACAGAAGUUGCAUGGUCUAUCCUCCAAUCCCAUGGCUACCAACGCACCAAUGUAAUCAGGGAAGCAGAUGUUGUUUUGGUCAUGACCUGCUCUAUUCGAGAAGGGGCUGAGCAAAAGAUAUGGAACAAGCUUGACUACUUGAGAGGCUUGAAGAACAAACGACUCGCAAACAAGAAGGCUGCCCCUAUGAAGAUUGGGAUAUUAGGAUGCAUGGCAGAGAGACUGAAGAAGAAAUUGGUUGAGAAAGAGAAGAGCAUUGAUGUUGUUGUAGGGCCAGACAGCUACCGUGAUCUUCCAAGGCUUCUGGCCAUAGUUGAGAGUGGAGAAACAGCUGUAAAUGUCCUGCUUUCAUUGGAGGAAACUUAUGCAGACAUUGUGCCAGUCAGACUUUCAGAGAACAGACAGUCAGCCUUUGUGUCUAUUAUGAGGGGCUGUGACAACAUGUGCACAUACUGUAUCGUGCCUUUCACAAGAGGACGGGAACGAUCUAGACCGGUGGAGUCCAUUGUAGAAGAAGUGCGUCACCUUUCAGGUGAAGGCGUGAAAGAAGUCACCUUACUUGGACAAAAUGUUAACAGCUAUCGAGACACUUCAGUCAUGCAGCAUGUAGGUUUCUCUAAGGAUGAGAAACAGACAUCUCUUGCCAAAGGCUUCAAAACGGUGUACAAAACCAAGAGAGGGGGUCUACGAUUUGCAGACCUUCUUGAUAAGGUAUCACAGGUUGACCCUGAAAUGAGAAUUAGGUUUACAUCCCCACAUCCAAAGGAUUUUCCAGAUGAGGUCCUAUACCUGAUUCGAGACAGAAAUAAUAUUUGUAACAGUAUUCACCUCCCAGCACAGUGUGGAAGCAGUAGAGUUCUUGAGCUCAUGCGAAGGGGAUAUACAAGAGAGGCAUAUUGCGAAUUGGUGUCACACAUAAGAUCCAUUAUUCCAAGUGUCUCACUGUCCUCAGACUUCAUUUGUGGUUUUUGCUCAGAAACUGAGGAAGAGUUUGAGGAGACCUUGACCUUGCUGCAAUGGGUCAAGUACAACUAUUGCUACCUCUUUCCAUACAGCUUGCGAGAAAAAACUCCUGCUCAGCGUAAACUAGUGGAUGAUAUUUCUCAUGAGGUGAAACUCAACCGCCUACAAAGGAUGGUACAGGUGUUCAGGACUGAAGCCAGCAAAGUCAACAAAGCUCAGAUUGGGCAGCAGCAGCUAGUGCUAGUUGAAGGCAGGAGCAAAAGAUCAAAAAGAGCAUUUGUUGGAAGAAAUGAUGGUAAUACCAGAGUUAUCUUCCCAGACGUAGAAGUGGAAAGUGGCAGUGAACGAGCUACUCGAAGCGUCAAGGAGGGGGACUACGUGUCAGUGGUUAUCACGGACUCUUCAUCUCAGGUUCUCAGGGGUAUUCCCCUGUCUGUUACCUCCCUGCAAGCCUUUGCUAAUGGCCUUUGAAUUUAUCACUUUGUAGAUUCAUGAUUGCAAGACUAUCAAAUGUAUGAAGAAAAGAUGUUCCCAUCACCCCAGCCCAUGACCAUCACCCAGGCCUCGGAAAAAAUAAAAAACAUUAUGACAUGUUGGUCACGUCUACCAGAUCCAGUGGGUUAAGAAUAUAUAAUUAUUUUAUUAUUUUUUAUUGGGAGCAUUUUUUUUUUUUUUUUUUUUUUUUUUUUUUUUUUUGUAAAACUGGUAUAGCUAUAAAAUGCAUUACCCUUAUAACAUUUUUUUAUUUUGUCUAUACAUUACAAAUCAUGAGUAAAAACUUUUGUAUUUCUGAAGACUCAAAACAGCACUGUGAAUCAAUAGUACAAAAUUCCUGAAAAAGAUUUCCAUCUACACGUGCAUUCAACCUCAAGAACACAAAAACUGAAAGCACAGCAAAAACUUGGCUUCAGUGCCUUGCAGUGAAAACUAAAAGGUGUUCAUAAUGCAUGAAAGCCACUAUGAGAAGGUUUCACAACUUGGUAUCUCAGCACUGUAGUAACAACAGCUACCCACAACUGCUCACAAGAGCAGCAAACCAUAACCUGUAUCUGGAGUUUAGCUUUCAUCCUGCCAAUAUCUGGCUCUUCAGGUACAUUUCCCCCUAAUACAGAAUUUCUAAGCUCGGCUGAUCAUUUUUGAAAAACAAAAUAAUUCAACUAGCUCAUGACCACAUACAUACAUAUGUGAGAGCCUUAACAAAAAGUGAUGACAUUUGCAUAAGUAAGACUGACUACUCUUCUUGUGUCCAUAGUUCAAGUAUGGUAAUCCUUUUUUCUUUCCCUUUAUUCUCAGAUCUAAAUUACAGAUUUUUAUCAGCUCAAAAUUAAAUAGAACUCAGUACUACUUCCUCUCUAACACACUAACAGUGCAUUUUAAUCUUGCUCUUUGUUAUUUACAUAAAGACAUUGGUUCUUGUCAAAUGCUGAGGUAGUUUGAAAUUUAAGCAUCACUUUCAAUUCUUGUUUAAUUCUUGCCUCUGUCAGUUGUGCCAUGUCUAUUUUCUUUCCAAAUAACUGAAUCACCUUUUUAAUAUUUUAUGUGCAGAAAUGAGCAUUGCAGUAUUUCAAUUAUGGAUAGGGCUGUUGGGUCAUAUUCUUACUGGUAACAUGUCAUACUCCUAAGUAGCUUAGUACAAGUUCAACUUUGUGCAUCUAAUAAACCUUACCAAAUAUCUGUUACUCAAACUAUUAGUUAUCAUUAUUAUCACUGCAACAUUGCUUGAAAAAAACAUCAUAUGAAGAAGAAAAGAAGUCAAAUAU
rnacentral:misc_RNA from 1 species